CCUUCUGUCACCUUUUCAGGGGCUGGACGGUUCUGGCUCUGGCGUGUUUUGGGCUUGGUUUUGUUUUUGUCUCCAACUUUUGGCGCAAUCUAACCAGAGACAGAAACACAUGUGAGUGGAGAAGAGGAAGAGGGAGAGGAAGAGAAGAAGUAUUUGGCAUCAAAGGGAGUCUGUGAAGAGAUGAAGAACCUGCAUUUCUUUCUGGGGAUGCCUUAUUUCUAUCCUACAAUACACGGUCACCAGAGGACUGCAUUACUGCAGAGCCAGGACUCUCUUGGAAACCCUGAAUGGAUAUGGAAGCCUGUGUGCAAAGCAGCUUUCUUCCGGACUAUUCAUCCCUCCUGUUGCAGCCUCAGCUCCCUCUUAAGCUUUUCCCAGUAAGCAGCCUGCCUGCACAGUGACAUGUCUUUCCUGCUUCCUGUAUUCUUGUGGCUUAGAUCAACUGGGGCAAAUGUCUUUUUCCCUUUCUGUUUCUGCUUGCUUGGAGCAUGUUCUACUUCUAUAGUAAAGGGUUUGUGGGACAGAUGUAAACAAAGCCUCUCUCAGACAAGUAAGAGAAGCUUUGUGACCCCGAGUACUACAAAAUCAUACUUACACCACUGGUCACACUACAAAAGAGUGUGACCUGUUGCCCGAAAGUGUUAACAAGGUUUCAUCUCGAACAAUAGGAACAAGCUUCGUGGAGGAAGGGUUUACAAUGGACUCACUGCAGAGAUUUGGGAUGAGGGGGAGCAGGGAAGAGAACCAGCAGGAAUUGAAUCCUACAUAGGACUUGGCCCCCACAUGUAUUUGUACCAUGAGAAUAGUAAACAAAGUCUUUGCACUUCAAUCCACUUUCCAUGGAUGGGAAAAGACACUUUAUUGAAACUGGUAAAAAUUAGCUGC